CAGUGAGACCACCUCAGCCACCUCUGGGUCUACCAAAAGAGGAAUGACACCUGCCCGAGGAUCCCAUGGAAUCCCUGCCAUCUCACAUAAUCCAGAGCAAUAUAUCAAAGAAGCUUGGGGAGGACAGGAUUGUCACAUUCUUCUGUCCAAAAUUGGACGAUACAAAUUGUGGUAUUGGGACAUCAAUCGCACAGGGCCCAACAAGGAACUUGAAAGCGAGGUCAUCAAUGCAUACCUACAUAAACUAGUCGAGUGCUACAACAGCCGAGGAGGGAAACAAGCUG